GGAAAAUUCAGAGCCUCCCAGAACCUCGGAAACGGUUCACUCAGCUAACGAUAUGCCAUUAAGGACGCCUCUCGUUAGGUGAAACAAUGCGCGUCGAGCCAAGGUACCAGCUGGAAUUCGACGCAUCGCUCAUCAUCUCCGUCGUCAAGUGGACCGGCCUUGAAAAGCUGACCUCCACCGCCCACGCAUCGAGGGGGCCUCACCUUCCGACGUGCAUGUCGCGAAUUGCCAUCUCUUUGGUACA